rnacentral:rRNA from 1 species
AGUAACACGUCGUUAACAUGCCCUUUGGUCAAGGAUAAUCACGGGAAACUGUGUGUAAUACUUGAUAGUGAAUACCAUCUGGAAUGAGGUAUUCUUUGAAAUUCGUGCCAAAGGAUUGGAUGGCGGCAGAUUAGGUAGUUGGCGGUGUAACGGACCACCAAGCCAAAGAUCUGUACGGGCCUUGAGAGAGGUAGCCCGGAGAGGGACACUGAGAUACUGGUCCCAGCCCUACGGGGUGCAGCAGGCGCGGAAACUUUACAAUGCACGAAAGUGUGAUAAGGGGAUCCCCAGUGCUCAUGUAAUGCAUGGGCUUUUGCCAAGUGUAAAUAGCUUGGCGAAUAAGUGGUGAGUAAGACUGGUGCCAGCCGCCGCGGUAACACCAGCGCCACGAGUGGCAACCGCGUUUAUUGGGCCUAAAGCGUCCGUAGCCGGCCUUGUAAAUCUUUUGUGAAAUUGUUUGGCUUAACUAAACAACGUGCAAGAGACACUGCAAGGCUCGAGACCGGGAGGAGUCAGAAGUAUUCCAGGGGGAGCGGUAAAAUGUUAUAAUCCCUGGAGGACUACCUGUGGCGAAGGCGUCUGACCAGAACGGAUCUGACGGUGAGGGACGAAAGCCAGGGGAGCAAACCGGAUUAGAUACCCGAGUAGUCCUGGCCGUAAACGCUGUGAGCUAGGUGUUGCAUCAGCGACCUGCUGAUGCAGUGUCGAAAGGAAGCUGUUAAGCUCACCGCCUGGGAAGUACGGUCGCAAG